CCUUGAUCUGUAAAUCUUCAUCAAGAGAUGUCUGGAAUGAUAAUCCCUUAAUAUAAUUCUGUAGUGUUAUUUGGAAUGUUUUGGUUAAUUCUUUAUACAAAUGUCUAUUUCUUGAUUUCAACAUAUUAUAGUGAACACGUAUGAAUUUUACAAAACAGUAAAGUCCUUUUGAGCAGAAUACUUAGGGUGAACCAACUCCUGCUGGGAGUUGUUGGCAGAGGAAGAGGACAAAGGAAAAGAAAGAAUUAUAAUGAGGGAAGGAGAAUGGCAUUAUUCUCCUACAACAUAAUUGUCAAAAGCUGAUCAAACUGAAGGCAACACUUGGGCCCUAUUGGGACCCACCUACUGAUCAAUCUAAUUGCUUAUCUUUGCUUAGAAUUUCGAAUGAGUUCCAAAGAUUGUUUUCUAAGUGGAAUAUUAUCUGUUGAUAUUUAUGAUCAGGUAGCUGUCUUUCUUGGGAAGGAAAGUAGGAUUCACAUGAAACUUACAAUGCACCCACAUCUUUUAUUCUCUUUAUUUGAGCUUAGAUGGUGAGAUCUGUUGAGAUCUGUAAAGGAUACAGAGAUGGAAGAAGCAGCAACACGUGAGAGCUCUGGAGAAUGGAAUGGGGAGUACAUCACUCCACGGAAUCUCUAAACAACUCACAGUUGUGUGGGCUGGCAGAAGAGGAGAAAACAGUUCCUGCAUCCCAACCAGAGAGAAAUUUGACUUCAAGAAAGGAAACCGCCUCCAAGGAAGAACAAAAAGAAACCAGUGCCUCUCCAAAGGCUAUCAGAGGCUAGCAAGCAAGAGACCAGGUUAGUUUGAGAUAUCGUGGCUCUUAAUGUAAUAAAUAGUAAAAUUAUGUUAUAUUAUUAUUGAGA
rnacentral:lncRNA from 13 species